CGGGAGGUGAGGGGUUAGGUGGAGAGGCAAGUUGGCCGGCUGUGAUGUGUAUCGCGGAGCACCGGACAGAGAAGCCAGGGUCCCCUAGGAACCCGGAGGGGAGUGGCUUGUCAGGGAUUUUUAGACAGGGAACGGAAGCCGUGAAGGCAGGUGUGAUGGAAGCAAAAAGAACACAGCUCGGAUGAGCACAGGACCCGCCGCGCCGGAGAAGACGCAGGGAGGGAAGAGGCAGCUGAAGCGGGGAAGAAAAGAGAUGGGGAGAAGGACGCGGGUCGCGGGGGCCGCGGUCGGCUUCACUCACAGUCCAGCUGAAUGAAGAUUUCAGAGAAUCUAGAGGAAGUCAAAACUGCAAAAUAGAAGAAGCAUGGGGCCCCAAAUUAGUCCUUGAAGGAAUCCUGCCCCAGAGAACUGCAUGACCAGUUAAAAUAUUCAGUUGUGGGGACUUCCCUGGUGGUGCAGUGGUUACGAAUCCGCCUGCCAGUGCAGAGGACUCAGGUUUGAUCCCUGGUCCGGGAAGAUCCCACAUGCCGUGGAGCAACUAAGCCCAUGCGCCACAACUACUGAGCCUGCACUCUAGAGCCCACGAGCCACAACUACUGAGCCUGCGUGCCACAACUACUGAAGCCUGUGCACCUAGAGCCCGUGCUCCGCAGCAAGAGAAGCCACCGCAAUGAGUAGCCCACGUACCACAAUGAACAGUAGUCCUCGCUGGCUGCAACUAGAGAAAGCCGGCGUGCAGCAAAGAAGAACCAACGCAGUCAAAAAUAAAAAUAAUUAAUUAAUUAAUUUUUUUUAAAAGUAAAAGCAAGGAUUAAAAAAAUAUUCAACUGUGUAAUUUAAUUAUGAGCAUAAUGAAGCUUCACACAUUACAAAAUCAAU